UGGGGAAUAUUGGACAAUGGGGGCAACCCUGAUCCAGCCAUGCCGCGUGAGUGAUGAAGGCCUUCGGGUUGUAAAGCUCUUUUGGCGGGGACGAUGAUGACGGUACCCGCAGAAUAAGCCCCGGCUAACUUCGUGCCAGCAGCCGCGGUAAGACGAAGGGGGCUAGCGUUGUUCGGAAUUACUGGGCGUAAAGCGAGUGUAGGCGGUUGCCGUAGUCAGGUGUGAAAGCCUUGAGCUCAACUCAAGAAAUGCACUUGAUACUGGGUGACUAGAGGACCGGAGAGGAUAGUGGAAUUCCCAGUGUAGUGGUGAAAUACGUAGAGAUUGGGAAGAACACCAGUGGCGAAGGCGGCUAUCUGGACGGUUACUGACGCUCAGGUGCGAAAGCGUGGGGAGCAAACAGGAUUAGAUACCCUGGUAGUCCACGCUGUAAACGAUGUCGAUUUGGAGGUUGUGCCCUUGAGGCGUGGCUUCCGGAGCUAACGCGUU
rnacentral:rRNA from 1 species